GGUUGAUCCUGCCAGUAUUAUAUGCUUCUGUCAAAGAUUAAGCCAUGCAUGUCUAAGCACAAAGUCCUAGUAUGAUGAAGCUGCGAACGGCUCAUUACAACAGUUAUAAUCUUUUUGAUGAAGUACGUACAAGGAUAUCUUUGAGAAUGUCAAAGCUAAUACUUGACGGUUUUCACCCCUUGUCGAGUCCAUUCCCUCUGGGAGUGUAAUCGAUGAGGGCGGGGGAUGCUUCACGUAUCCUCUACAUAUUACCACUUUUUUUUGAAUGAGGGUGGAAUAUAUGCCAAGAGAAU
rnacentral:rRNA from 1 species